UACGUAGGGUGCGAGCGUUAAUCGGAAUUACUGGGCGUAAAGUGUGCGCAGGCGGCCGAGCAAGUCGAGUGUGAAAGCCCCGAGCUUAACUUGGGAACUGCGCUCGAAACUACUUGGCUAGAGUGUGGCAGAGGGAGGUGGAAUUCCACGUGUAGCGGUGAAAUGCGUAGAGAUGUGGAGGAACACCGAUGGCGAAGGCAGCCUCCUGGGCCAACACUGACGCUCAUGCACAAAAGCGUGGGGAGCAAACAGG
rnacentral:rRNA from 1 species